CACGUAGUUAGCCGUGGCUUAUUCAAGGGGUACCGUCUUCUGCUCUUCCCCCUUAAAAGAAGUUUACAACCCGAAGCCUUCUUCCUUCACGCGGCGUUGCUGGGUCAGGCUUGCGCCAUUGCCCAAUAUUCCCCACUGCUGCCUCCCGUAGGAGUCUGGGCCGUAUCUCAGUCCCAAUGUGGCCGGUCAACCUCUCAGUCCGGCUACUGAUCGCCGCCUAGGUGGGCCGUUACCCCGCUACUAGCUAAUCAGACGCGAGGCCAUCUUCCAGCGAUAAAUCUUUGACAUGUCCGUGAUGCCACGGCCAUGUGUCAUGCGGUAUUAGCAGUCGUUUCCAACUGUUGUCCCCCUCUGGAAGGCAGGUUCCUCACGCGUUACUCACCAGUCCGCCACUAAGCCAUUCCCCUUCCAUUGUCCGAAAAACUCUUUCAGGGGGUUGCUCCGUUCGACUUGCAUGUGUUAAGCACGCCGCCAGCGUUCGUCCUGUAGCCAGGAUCGAAACUACUCUGUACGACUACG
rnacentral:rRNA from 1 species